ACUGCGCGCCAGGCCAGGUUCCUGAGAGCAGACAGCGCGGGCUGGGAGCGCCGGCAAGGGCGGCCCUCGCGCACCUGGCUGCCAGCCCGCAGGGGGCUCGCACGCAGACCUGCCCUUGCCACCUCAGCGCUCGGGUGCGGGCUGGGGGCGGUGGAGCCACGAAAGGUGGUGCCGAGAGCGGAGCGCAGGACAGCGCAGGAGCCCCGGCGCAUCGCGGCGCGCACAGACCCAGGAUUUGUGAAGAGGUGACCCAAAUUUCAAGACAAUGUUGGAUGCAAACGGAUUUGCCAGCAACUGCAUCACUGUCAAAACCAGCUCUGCCCGUGUCUUCCGAAGAUACCAAGUGAAAUACAUGUAGAUGGGAUUUACAUCUGAAAAACCAAGUGAGAAACUGAAGACCAGAGAGGGUGAGUGGUUUACUCAGUUUGGCACAACUGACCCCAACCUAGCCCUCCAUGAGGACUGAGCGCAUGAGAGAUCCUGAGCCACAGCCGCCCAGCCCUGCUCCUCUCGAAUUUCUGACCUACAGGAACUGCAAGAAGUAAUGAAAGACUGCUGUUUAAAGCCACUGCAUUUUGGCAUGAUUUGUUAUGCAGUCGUAGAUAACCAGAAAACAUCGGAUUUACAUUUUAAGGUAAACUUUUUAUUGAAACAUCACAUACACACAGAGACGUCCACCAAUUGGCUCGAUGAGCUUUCUCAAAGGAAACACAUUCUCUGAGCAGUGUGCACAUCCAGACACAUCAUCUCCAUCCUCCAGAAGCCCCCUCCUGUUAUCGCCACUCACAGGUCACCCGUCUCCUGACUUGCAGCCACAGAGAUAGUCCUGCCUAAUUCUGAACGUGGUACAAACGGAAUCAUACAGAAUGGGCUUGGCUUCUUUCACUCUGGGCUGUGUUUAUGAGCAUCACCCAGAUUGCUGCAUGGAAGCCAUCGUUUGUUCAUUUUCACCACCAUAGAGUAUUCUACUGUUGAUGGGACAUAGGCUAUUUAUUCCUUCUACUGUUGAGGGACGCAUAGUUAUUUCCAGCUGGAGACUGGUAUAUGUCUCUUGGCUACCUUCUGCAUGCAUUUCUGUUGGAGGUUGUUUCAGGUAUCUCUUAACGUAUAACAGACCACCCUCAAAUUGAGUCCUUGAAACAAUUACCAUUUUCUUCUUUCUCAGGAUUUGGUGCAUGGGAUGGGCUCAGUUGGGCAGUUCUUCUGUUCCAUGUGAUGGUACUGGGGCUGCAGUCAUUCAGAGGCUCAACUGGGCUGAACGUGCAAGGUUUCUUGCUCACGUGGCCAUCAGUGGUGCUGGCUGCUGUUGGGAGCUCCACUGGACUUCUGUCCAGAGCUCCUCAGCUCACCUCUCUGUAUCCUUGCCCUGUGGCUCAGGCUUCUAACAAUACAGAGGCUGGAUUCCAAGAGGAGGGAAUUAGAAGCGUUCAGCCUUCUUAAGACCAGGAUUCAGAUGUCCCAGACUGUCACUGUAUUGACCGGAGCAUUUACAGGCCAGCCUAGUAAUUUUUCCAUCUUGGGCAGGAAUGGGUGGCAUAUGCUGGGGGUAGGGGUAGCAUUGUUGGGGAUCAUCUUUGGAGCUGUGUGCCAAGGAGUAAAUUGCUGGGCUGCUUUCUACCUGAGGAAGUCCACUAUGCUUGCUUGUGGAGAGUGGAUUGUGUGCUCAGAGUCCACAAGGAUUUAAGAAUCCGAGCCCUGCUGCCCUUGCCUCAGCCUGUGCAUUAGGGCCCGGUGGUGAGAGCACUGAGCCAUUGUGAAUCAAGGCCCCUCCCUCGACCUGCAUACUAACAGGCCAGAAGAGCUUGCUUGAUUUUGGUCCUAGGCUCCUGCCUGUGGGUUGGAUUCCAGGGGCACUCUCUCCUCCACAAACCAGACGGUGGCAGGUACAUCCCCUCAAUGGAAAUUGCCCACACUUCACCCUAAAGACAGAUCCUGCUGUUCAGCAACAAUGUGAGUGGCCCACACAUUUGUCCAGCAUGAAACCGUUUGCAGAUUCCUUUCCAGUACACAGUCCCGUCAGCCGGUCACUUCACGAUGACAGCUCCUCGAAGCACCUUUUGGUUUGCAGUUGUGUAGCUUAGAAGUAGGAGCCUGCACGGCUUCAGGAAUUCACAGAAGGAGCACACUUUGUGCUUGGAGAAGUUAAUUAUAGGAAUAUCCUGCAACCUGCUGCUCUGAGCCUGUGCACCUGGGGUGUUUCCCUGGAGGUCCUGUGUAUGAGGAUACUCAUCAGCAUGGGGUUUGGGAAGCCUAGCAGUGGAGACAACCUAGGUGGUCCUCUCCAGGGGAGUAGGUAAGAGCCCUACAGCAGUGAAAAGCAUUGAAGGAAAAGUGUGUUCAGCAGUGCUCUUAAUCUGAUCAGAGCAGCCUGAACACAUUCUAAACACAGGGCAUUUAGAACUAGGGUAGAGGCACUAGAGCACCAUAGAUACAAACUCAGAUUCUGAAGGUAAAUGCCCAGGUUCAAAUCCAAGCCCCCUCGCCAAGUGACCAUGACUCCCCCGAGUCACCUGACCUCUGUGUUUACAUCCUCAAAGUUAAGUAGUCAGGAAAGGGGGCUUGGGGCUUGCCACAUGGAUGGUUGCCACUCUCCUUUGCAAAGUGUAGUCCCCAAAAACAGGUGGAAGAGGGAAGGGUCCAAUUAGAAGGCCGAGUACCAGCUGCCAUGAAUAUGCCAGAGCUGCUGGCUAGUGAUAAAUAACUGAAACCCAGGGGGACAGCAGAGCUUGGGUGACCAUACAUUCUAGGAAAGAAAACAUGCCUGUUGUCCUGGCUUUUUAUCCAGCUUAGACAAAGAUGGGCAAAGAAAAUAAUUUAGAAAAUGGUAGAGAUGGGCACAGAGAAAGGGCACGGAGGGAGGCACAAACAGAAGGCCAAGUGAUGGUGGAGGCAGACAUUGGAGAAAUGCCUUUACAAGCCGGGGAAUGCCAAGGAUGCUGGCAACCCUGGGAGUGGGAAGAACCUGGAACACACCCUCCGUCAGAGUCUCCAGAAGGAACUGGCCCUUCAUCACCUUUCGGACUUCUGGCCUCCAGAACUGGGCAAGAAAAUGUUUCUGCUGUUGGAGGCCAUCCAGCUGGUGGUCAUUUGUUAUGGUUGCCACAGAAAACGAAUAUAGAUUUAGACAUCUAAUUUGCAUAUAUAGAUAUGCAUGUGUAUUUGUUAAAUAAAAGAUAAAGCAUGACAACUCGA
ensembl:lncRNA FENDRR FOXF1 adjacent non-coding developmental regulatory RNA